CGGCGUCCGCGCUGCGCGCGGAUUACAUGUUUAAUAAAAAUCAGGGGAGAAGUUCGAAACGGUGAUCAUUUUUUUUUAAAAAACAACUGUAAGUAUGAAUAAUAAAUAGUUUUGAGGAAUUCGAUAUUUGAAUGAGAAAAUAAUCUUUGUGUGUGACAAUUUAAUUGAUGUAGGAAGUGGUAACGUAAAUGUUUUAAAAGUUGACUGGUGGUGUUUGCUAUGAGGCUUAAGAUAGCAGUUUAUUCCUCUUUUGGAAGCGUUGAAUGAUAUCAAUUUCGUUGUUAAAGUAGAAGCGCGUUCCAGGUGUUGCUGUGAGUGAUAGGUUUUCUGAAAAAGGCAAAUAUUUGUUAGCAUUUAGUUUUUUGUAAAGUUUAUGUUUAGUUUAUUACCUUCAUGUAUCCGUGGAAUGAUACUUGUGAUGAUUACGACUUGUUUUUUCCUUGUUGA